rnacentral:rRNA from 1 species
GACGAACGCUGGCGGCGUGCUUAACACAUGCAAGUCGAACGGAAAGGCCCUGCUUUUGUGGGGUGCUCGAGUGGCGAACGGGUGAGUAACACGUGAGUAACCUGCCCUUGACUUUGGGAUAACUUCAGGAAACUGGGGCUAAUACCGGAUAGGAGCUCCUGCUGCAUGGUGGGGGUUGGAAAGUUUCGGCGGUUGGGGGUGGACUCGCGGCUUAUCAGCUUGUUGGUGGGGUAGUGGCUUACCAAGGCUUUGACGGGUAGCCGGCCUGAGAGGGUGACCGGCCCCAUUGGGACUGAGGUACGGCCCAGCCUCCUACGGGAGGCGGCAGUGGGGAAUAUUGCACAAUGGGCGGAAGCGUGAUGCAGCAACGCCGGGGGCGGGAUGACGGCCUUCGGGUUGUAAGCCGCUUCGGCAUGUAACGAAGCGUAAGUGACGGUAAUGGGUAAGAAAGCCCCGGCUAUCAACGUG